GCGAAUCUCGAAAGCCUGUCUCAGUUCGGAUUGGAGGCUGAAACCCGCCUCCAUGAAGUUGGAUUCGCUAGUAAUCGCGCAUCAGCCAUGGCGCGGUGAAUACGUUCCCGGGCCUUGUACACACCGCCCGUCAAGCCAUGGGAGCCGGGGGUGCCUGAAGUUCGUGACCGCAAGGAGCGACCUAGGGCAAAAACUGGUGACUGGGGCUAAGUCGUAACAAGGUACC
rnacentral:rRNA from 1 species